rnacentral:sRNA from 1 species
ACUCAACGAACUUUUUUUAAAAGAGGUGAGUCCAUAUGGUAAAAGCAUGCUGCCUUGAGCAGAUCCUUGAUCCAUUGGUUAGCCGCAAUCCUGUAAUUAUGGAGUUU